GAUGAACGCUAGCUACAGGCUUAACACAUGCAAGUCGCGGGGCAGCAUGGGGGUUGCUUGCAACUCCCGAUGGCGACCGGCGCACGGGUGAGUAACGCGUAUCCAACCUGCCCUUCACCACGGGAUAACCCGGCGAAAGUCGGACUAAUACCGUAUGUUGUCCAUUGACGGCAUCCGAUUUGGACGAAAGGCUUUGCGGUGAAGGAUGUGGAUGCGUCCGAUUAGCCAGACGGCGGGGUAACGGCCCACCGUGGCUACGAUCGGUAGGGGUUCUGAGAGGAAGGUCCCCCACACUGGAACUGAGACACGGUCCAGACUCCUACGGGAGGCAGCAGUGAGGAAUAUUGGUCAAUGGGCGUAAGCCUGAACCAGCCAAGUAGCGUGCAGGAUGACGGCCCUAUGGGUUGUAAACUGCUUUUAUGCGGGGAUAAAGUGGCCCACGUGUGGGCUUUUGCAGGUACCGCAUGAAUAAGGACCGGCUAAUUCCGUG
rnacentral:rRNA from 1 species